GGGCGGAUCCAAAUGGUGGCGAUGGCAGCCCCUCGAGGAGGAUGGAGGCAAGGGAGCUCCAAUGGAUCCGUUGAGGAGGUUCACGGGGACAGAGGGAGUAGGAGGCAGAAGGGGCUCGGGGUGCGGUCAAAUGGCGAGCACAUGCGUUGAAGCAACCUUGGAGCCUUGCUGGCGUCGCAGAGGGGCACAGGCGGUCAAAGGGAAUCUUCUAGCGUGCGGAGACACGCUACUGCUGCUAGACACGAGAUGCAAGAAGAAGACAAGGGGCAUAGCGCCAUUACUGCAUGUAGCCAAAGUGCUCACCAUGCUAAAGCUUGUCCAGGACCACGCUUUGGCCAGGAGAAGGUGUCUAGCAUGCAAGGCAUGCACGCCAGAGAGCACUGGUGCAAUUUGGACACAAGUGCAACACAUUAGGCUGGGUUUUAUCACUGGUUAAGUUUGCAUCAGAAAAUUUGGGCUACCAAAGAGGGGUUUUACUGGGGGGUCUUUGGAAUAAACCAUGUCUAGUAGCCCUAGCUAUGCAAGAACUACAAGACUACCAAGUUUCAGCUCAAGGAGAGGAGUGUAGCAAGCACUUGCAGUUCAAGGCCACAUUUCUGCCAAAAAUCAAGUUUCAGAAGGGCUGCUCAUAUUUUCCAUGUGAGCAUGCCAUAUCUUUGCUUAAAAUAAUGCAUUAUCAUACUAGAGGUUCUAUGGAAGGAUGUGGGGGCAUUGGCAUGACCAUAAUAAUUGGGAGAGGGUAAAAGAGGGGUUGUCAUGGUAAAAAGGAGAGGAAGAGAGAGGGAGUCACCCUCCAAUAAUUGACUAGGGGCCAUGGCAAAGUUCUUGGAGGUAAAAUAGGGUCAGAGAAUACUAUGGUAGAAAUUUGAGCUCAAGGAGAAUAGUAGAAGGGCUCCAAGCAAUAAAUCUCCUAAGUGCGGAGAAUGUGUUUGAUGGGUGUUACGGCUAGCAAAUGGAGUCCACUUGCUAUGAAACUUAACAAGAUCAUAUGAUAGGUGAAAAUGACAUAGGAUACCAAACAUGGGAUUUGUUGGCGAAAGUUUUCAAUGUAGACUUGAAAAUCUCAAGAAAUGGGAAAAGAUGGCUUUGUGCAUA